GGCCUCUGGGUGCUUACCACAGGCUGUGUUCUUACACUGAUUGUAUAGAAAGAGGAGGCAGAAUAAACCUGGCCCAUAUACACAUCAGCCCAGGCCUGUGCCUAGUCUGUAUUGUGAAUGGAGAGACAUGG
ensembl:snoRNA